rnacentral:rRNA from 1 species
UACGAAGGGGGCGAGCGUUGUUCGGAAUCACUGGGCGUAAAGCGCACGCAGGCGGAUCGAUAAGUCGGGGGUGAAAGCCCGGGGCUCAACCUCGGAAUUGACUUCGAUACUGUCGGUCUCGAGUCUGGGAGAGGGGAGUGGAAUUCCUAGUGUAGAGGUGAAAUUCGUAGAUAUUAGGAAGAACACCAGUGGCGAAGGCGGCUCACGGGCCCGGUAAUGACGAUCAGGUUCGAAAGUGUGGGGAGCAAACAGG